UUUGCUAAAAACUGCUAUGCUUCCAAACAGGGCCGAAUCACUUCCUAAAAUGGGCCGUUUUUUAGAAGCAUCAAAAUGAUGCUUCUUGUUGCUUUCUGCACUGUAAGGAUAAAAUGCUUCCUGCACUAUAGCCCAUUAGUGGAAUCAUUGGGCCCAAAAUACUCGAAGCAAUAUUCCAUAAUCCAGCCACAAAUCUUGAAAGCAAACGAGAGCAAACCCUAGGGCGAUUCGGAAGCGGUUCCAUUAUGCAUAGAGCUUCGACCAUCCCGUCGCUACAAACGACGUUCUUGCAGGCUUUGAUUGAGAUGAAUGGAGAUGAUUCAGAAGGAUAUAGCUGAGGUUGAGAAGGUGGCUACACGUCUAACAGGAGAUCUCAAACUCUACUGUGUUUCUAGAACGUGUAAUGUUGUUGACUAGAAAUUUUGUAAAUGUUCAACAGGGAAUUUGGAACUUUUAUUUCAAGACACUAAGGAUAACGUUACAGUAAUUAGAUGAUGUGUUUUCCCUGGGAUUAUUUAUAGGGAGGAUUUAUUCCCAUAUUUUGUUAACAUUGUUGAUACAUGCCUUAAUAUGCCUUAAUAUGACACUUAAAACUUGUAUUUUUAGAUUUACAAUAUGGUGGGUUGGAUGCAAUUAAGAUUCUGCAAAAACUAUUAUUGUAUGUCGAUGUUAUAGGAUGAAGCAAAUCAUUUGUAUUGUGAUGUAUAUAUAUGCUACACUUGUUGGGAACCAGCUUAGUUCUUGGACAUUGGCCUUACUAAUUCAAAAUUGGUGUUCUCGUUCAUAGGAAGACAUCAAAGUGUUGUGUUGUGACCUACCACUACAAGAAAACUGAGAUGAUUUAUAAAAAAAAAAAAAAAAAAAAAAAAAAAAAAAAAAAAAAAAAAAAAAAGAA